rnacentral:rRNA from 1 species
AUCUGCAGCCAUACCACUCUGAAUACUCCCAAUCUUGUCUGAUCUCAGAAACUAAUCAGAGUCAGGCCUGGUUAGUACUUUGAUUGAAAAUGUUUUCCAUCUGUUGACCCUGAGAAUGUGGAACCUGCAGAGA